AGAGAACUACAAGUGAAAAACUAGAAACUCCAAGGACUUGGCGGUGCCCCACAUCAACCUAGAGGAGCCUGUCCUAUAAUCGAUAACCCACGCUGUACCUUACCAUUUCUAGCAACUCAGCCUAUAUACCGCCGUCGAAAGCUUACCUUGUGAAAGAAACAAAGUAAGCAAAACAGUCAACAACUAAAACGUCAGGUCAAGGUGUAGCACAUGAAAUGGCAGAGAUGGGCUACAUUUUCUACCCUAGAAAACACGAACAGCACAAUGAAAUCUGUACUCAAAGGCGGAUUUAGCAGUAAGGUAAAAAAGAAACUUUACCUUAAACCCGCU
rnacentral:rRNA from 1 species